CUGCGUUUAGUCGGUCGAAGUCUUUCCUCGCUUCAAUUGAGCUUCAAUAAUUUGUGGCCCCGCGCCAGUGGUCUGGGUGUGCGAUAAGCUGGUGUGGCUACGGAGGCGCGCAGUAGAACUGGUGUGUACGUGAAACGACAAGUAGAAGGAAGGAAAAUCGGUGUACAGAAAGAGACUCAGACGCCGGAGGGUAGUCGGCAGAGGCAGGAUAUGCGAGGCAGUUGAAAAGUUUACACGCUCCGACGGUGAUGUAUGGAGAUUGUGCGUGCGUGACUUGCUUAGUUCUGAGCCUGCUUUCGUUCGUCGCCACUCUGAUAACCGGAGUUUUAUCGGUCCUCCAGCAGGGAUAUACCGGUAUUUCGCUCGAUCGGACUGCGAUGGGUGACUGGAACUCACUUCGGAUGGUAAUAACCAGUUCGAACUUCGCAACAGAAGUGGCUCGUUUUAACGUGAUAAAUGCUCCUUACGAAAUACGUAGCCCACUUGCAGAGUUCCUGCCAGCCGAAGAUUAGGGAAUAUUGAUUGUAAUUAAUUACCGACCGAAGUCUCUUCCCCGUUGCAUGCGAACGAUUUUCCACGUGCCACCGACGAAUCAGUUACACGAGUACAUUAACCACCAGUAGUUUCUCUGCCAUCGUUAUUGAUCCACAGGGAUCUGGUCCUGGGCGCGGUCGGGACCUCCUAAUUCGACAGGCGAGGGCGAAGGGUUAAUUGGAGGCAACAAUUAAUUUACGAUGUUGAACGAACUCGCACAACUUUGACAAACUGCCAACGACGAAGGACGAAAGGAAGAAGGCUGUCGUAAAUAAGGACGAAGCGGUAAUCGCGCGAUUCGGUGGAAGCGGAAAGAGGGACACUGGAGAAUCUGGCGGAAGUCUGGUGACCGAGACACAAUGAACAUCUACUACAUUACAUCGCAACUUUAAAGCAGAGGAAUGUAGCAGAGUGUAAGCAGUGACUACAGAUGCAACCUUUAGUCUCGAGGGAUCAUGAUUUUGGAGAUCCUAGACACCACCAACUGAGGAUAGAUCUGCACAUAAAUGUAUGACAGUCAAGCCUGCUUGACCAGUUCUUCUUUCACUACACUUCGCACUCAUAACUGAAGACAAUUUUUAGUCCCUUUGAUUCUUAUUUUUUUGAAAAUCAAUCCAAAUCAGCACAAGACCAAUAAAUUAUUGAAAUAAUUGUUUA